AACCUUGGCUCUGCAUUGUAGCCUUGUGCUCAGUUGUUUCUCCUUCUCACACUGCCUGAGGCUGCUCUGGAGCCUGUUUUGAGUCCCCAGGUGCUGCUGCUCAUCCCAUGGAGCUGAGCUGUGGCUGCAUUGCUGAGGAGGCUGGUGGCAGAUAGCAGGGCUGGGAAGAGGCUGCCUCGGCACAAGCUCCUGGAGGACUCUUCUGGGAGAAGGA